rnacentral:rRNA from 1 species
CCUACGGGAGGCAGCAGUGGGGAAUAUUGGGCAAUGGGCGAAAGCCUGACCCAGCCACGCCGCGUGUGUGAUGAAGGCCUUCGGGUCGUAAAGCACUGUGGGGAGAGACGAAAAAGCGCAUGAGGAAAUGCUUGCGCCUUGACGGUACCUCCUUAGCAAGCACCGGCUAACUCUGUGCCAGCAGCCGCGGUAAU